rnacentral:rRNA from 1 species
UACGAAGGGGGCUAGCGUUGCUCGGAAUUACUGGGCGUAAAGCGCGCGUAGGCGGACCUGCAAGUCGGGGGUGAAAGCCCGAGGCUCAACCUCGGAACUGCCUUCGAUACUGCGGGUCUCGAGUCCGGAAGAGGAGAGUGGAAUUCCUGGUGUAGCGGUGAAAUGCGCAGAUAUCAGGAAGAACACCAAUGGCGAAAGCAGCUCUCUGGGACGGUACUGACGCUGAGACGCGAAAGCGUGGGGGAGCGAAACAGG